GUUAUUCUUUUGAAUACAUGAGCCUCUAACAUAGUCAUUUUGGUCUUGGUGAUAUCUUGUUCAGCAUAGAAGUUAUGUUCAAGUAGGACCCUGAAGGCUCAUUUGCUAGACGGUUAUUAGGAGUCUAUGACGGUGAUGGUAAUAUUUUUAGUUUAAUUUUGGUUAAAAAUAUCCCAUAUGAAAUUACAUCCUCAAACUUGUGUUUUUCCUUGCAUUACCACUCGGUACCACCUCCUAAAGUGGUAAUUGAUGGUGAUGUUAUGACCAAAAAAAGGAUUUUUUUGGGGUGGGCAGGCAUUAUCUUGGAUAGACAUGAGAAUUUUCUUAUAAAGUUACCAUAAAAGUCACUACUAUUACCGUGGUACUGCCAUUUAUUACUACUUACCAAAUGCAACAUGAUAGUUCUAUCAAGUUCUAUUUUCGUAGACUUCUGAGAUAUCUUUCUCUAUUAACAUUAUUAUGAAUUGUGAUGUUGAGUGACUGAAGGAUGUUAAUCUGGGUUAGACAUUUCUUUUUGGUCAGACAUUUGUUUUUAGAGAUUUCAUCCACCCAUUAAAAAGUGAGAAGUUAUCUUACUGUAGGGUAGUAACAGUGAGAGGACUAUUUUGCCCCUCCACUUUGUUAGAAUUGCUAUGCUGCCUUUUUUUUUUUCCCGUGUUCUGUGCAUCGCUCUUCUCUCUGACUGUCUCUCAUCUCUCUCCUCUCUCCUCUCUCCUCUCUCCUCUCUCCUCUCUCCUCUCUCGCUCUUCUUCUUCAUUCUCCUCUUUCCAGUUUCCAGUUCAUCCUCUUUCAUUCUUCUUCUUCUUUUUUUACCUUUUUUUUUUUCUCUCUCUCUCAUUGUUAGAAUUGCUGUCGAUUAUUGGCUUUAUAUUUCAAGGUCAUAGAAUCUCUUCUCCCGUGGUGUGAGGACUAAGGAUAAAGUAUUACCAUGAAGCCAGAAAGAGAGGAGCAAACUAGAAGCAAGCAACGACAUGAUGAAGAAAGAAAAAGAGAUAUAUGAGAGAAAGGUUUGUUCAACUUCUUUUAAUUAUCACUUAAUUAGAAAUAUUGUUUUAAUUAAUACUGUUAAACCAUUGUAUUAGAUGGAAACUUAGCUUGACUUUUGGAGUUCCAGUUUGUUUUCGAGAUUUUAAUCCUUUUACAAUCCAGGAUUCUAGGUUAUCUAAAUCCAAAUGGCAAUCCGUUAAUAGGUGUGCUUUGAAAAAUAUCUUGAAUUUACUGUAGAUGGAGGAUUUAUGAUCUUUAUACCCUCAUAGAGAACUUUAGCUCGAAGAUCAUGGUGUCUUCGCUCAAAAGUUUUUGAAAAGUUCGUAGUCUAAGCUUUGGCAAAUGAGAAUAUUUAGGAGGUACGCUUCUUAGCUUUGUGAAUUGUGGGGCAACUUGCAUAAUCUAAAACAUAAAGAAACAACUGAGGAUGUUGGAGCAAGUUUGAGAGCUUCAAAAUACAUAAUAUUCGAGUGACUUGACACACUCCUAAAGCUAGUUCUAAUACAACUUUCUUCCUUCUAAUGCAAGUUGCAAGUAUUAGAUCUUCUUCAUUAGAAGUAGUUUGUUGGCUUUGUGACUAUAUUAGUGUUGACGUCAUUUUGAAAAUGUGAGAAGCGAAUGUCUUGCAUGUGUGACAUUGACAAAUCUGAUAAUUGUUAGAGUUGUUUUCUUUUCCCUCUUUGGUUGGAGCUCUGAAUAAUGGAUAAAGCCUAAUAGCUAGGUUAGAAAAAAGUUCAGAUUUUAAGGAAGGAAUGACAACUUUUGCUUUGAGUGCUAGGAUCAUUAUUGGAUUACUUUUGUUUACUAUUAUACUAUUAGUUAGGGCUACAUGUUGUCCUUUGUUUGCUUCAAUUUGAAUUAGUUGACAGAUACAAGCUGCCAUCAACUGUUAGACAUGUAUGAACAAUGAUUCCUAUGUAUGAGCAAUGGUUUCUAUUGUGUUUCAACAUUCACUAAUGAAAGAUACAAAAAGAUGGCGACCAGUUGGAGCAUAUAUUCGCUAUCAAGCCUAUGAAGUCAAUCGGCCUUUCAACUGAUACUAAAUUUGUGCUUGCACUUCGUGUUUUGGAAGGAUGCUACCUGAUUUAUUGGCAAAGUGCGAUUCUGACUCACCAGCAUUAUUAGUAAUGAUGCUCUAUUUAUCUUUGUAAAAGUAUGCUUUCCCUUGGUUUCUAAGUUGACUAUGUAAAGCUCUUUUUUUUUUUGUUACAUUUUACCUCCGACCCAUCACCUGGAGGCAAGGAAUGGAAGAAUACUAUGUACGUUAGAAAAGAUAUAGAAAGAAGUGUACUUGUUAAAGUA